rnacentral:rRNA from 1 species
AUUGAACGCUAGCGGGAUGCCUUACACAUGCAAGUCGAACGGAGUGGCGAACGGGUGGGUAAUUUAUCGGAACGUGCCCAGUCGCGGGGGAUAACUACGCUAAAGCGUAGCUAAUCCCGCAUACUAUUUGAGCGGCCGUUAUUGGAUUAGCUAGUUGGUGGGGUAACGGCUUACCAAGGCGACGAUCCGUAGCAGGUUUGAGAGGACGACCAGCCACACUGGAACUGAGAAACGGCCCAGACUCCUACGGGAGGCAGCAGUGGGGAAUCUUGGGCAAUGGGGGAAACCCUGAUACAGCCAGCCCGCGUGUGCGAUGAAGGCCUUCGGGUUGUAAAGCACUUUUGGUAGGAAAGCGGUACCUGCAGAAUAAGCACCGGCUAACUACGUGCCAGCAGCCGCGGUAAUUC